rnacentral:misc_RNA from 1 species
GGCAGAGUCGGGGCGGCGGGACUCAUUGCGUGGUCGCUUGCUACGCUUGGCCUUGAUAGGUAAGUGUCCGUCUCUGCCGAAGUUCGGGUAUGCUUCUCUGGCGAGGUUAGGAUUCAGGCUACGGAGUGGCGGCUCGGAUUCCACCGGCUGGAGGACGAGGGCCCGGCGUUUCUCCGGUGGCUGGAUGCGGGGCUGCAGCUUCGUUGGCGUCGCCAGCCGGCAAGGGAACACGCCGGGGCUCGGCGGGUGCAGAGAUUCGUCGAUGACCAGUGAUACCCAUUCAAACUCAGUUGGGUCAUGC